rnacentral:tRNA from 1 species
AAAGGGAGACCUAAUUCGGGUAUAAGACGAAAAAAAAGUAGUCCCUACCAAGAAUCAAUCCCAAAAGGUCGGAGCGAGGCAUGAGGCUUUCAAACUAGGUUCUGGGUUCAUAAAAGACCUGAAUCAGGAACAAGGGCUAUUAGCUCAGGUGGUUAGAGCGCACCCCUGAUAAGGGUGAGGUCCCUGGUUCGAGUCCAGGAUGGCCCACCUGCACAGGUGGCAAAAACAAAAGAAGCGAGGAAUCAGCACCUUAUCUUACUUAUAUAGUAAGAGAGAAUGCUGGCUCUGAGUACAGAGUCCAGAGGAACCUUGAAAACUGCAUAGAGCUAGGUGAAAAAGCCAAAAAAGAAGACCGCAAG